rnacentral:rRNA from 1 species
UACGUAGGGUGCAAGCGUUGUCCGGAAUUAUUGGGCGUAAAGAGCUCGUAGGCGGUUUGUCGCGUCUGCUGUGAAAACCUAAGGCUCAACCUUGGGCUUGCAGUGGGUACGGGCAGACUAGAGUGCGGUAGGGGUGACUGGAAUUCCUGGUGUAGCGGUGGAAUGCGCAGAUAUCAGGAGGGAACACCGAUGGCGAAGGCAGGUCACUGGGC